GAGAGGAAGGAGCUCAGGGGCUGCUUCCUCCCCUGAUGUUGACUUGACUGUUGACUUGAGUGAGUUGAAACCUCCUCUGAGCAAUCUCCAUGUUGUAUGUCCUGUUUGUCCCCACUACUGCUGUCCCUCUUCAGAAACUCAUCACUUCUUAUCAGGAAAUGUGUAAAAUGAGAAAAAGAAAGAGAGGAUGGAGGCCAGAGCAGAAGCCAGUGGAGCCUGAGAAGGAGCUGCAGUGGAGCAGAAGGACUGCUCUUGGGAUCAACCCCUGUGGAGACGAAGGAAGGAUGGGCAAGGUGAGAAGGCCUCAGGUUGAGAUGAUGACAUUACAAGAUGAAAAUAGCAUGGAUCACUGGAAGCAAGCUGCCUGGGGGAGCCACUUGACCUGCAGUGGACGUUGCAUGAGAAAGAAAUGUACUUUUAAGUGAUCGGCCACUGACGUUCAGAUGAAGAGGAUAAAUGGGUCCAGAAAUAGGAAUUGUAUGAUGCUGGUGUACGAUCUAUUGAUGCUGGACGUGGAGGAGAACCAAGAGUCAAGACAUGGAUUGAAAACGAAAAGCUGAAAAAGCUCACAAGAAGACAACAGGGGCCAGCUCCAAGGCUCAGUGUGUCUAGAGAAGAGGUGAAGUCCUCAGUGGCAGCCUGUUUCUUUUCGGUAAUAAUCUCCCUAGGUGCUGUAAUAGAGAGAAGGAAAUGAAACUGAGAAGGGGUAGAGAAAUUCUGCAGUGGUAACAGGUUUGUGUGCAACAUACGUAUCCUUCAUUUAGGAAGAAACCCUCGGAAUUAGGUGGAGCUGAUAUAAAAUAAGACCUGUGAACUCAAGAGGCCCACAGAAGGUGAACAUUUCCUUAGGGUUGAUAAUGGCCUGAGUAUAUUCACUCUGUGGUCAGGGGCAUGGAAGAGUUGGGCUGCUUAUUGUGUUCUUACUACGUGGACCAGAACAGAGUGGUUUGAGCCCCCUGAUCAGAAGAUAAAGAAAAGAGAAAACUUCAGCUGCUUUAUGUAAACCCAAUCUGGUACUCUCUGGCACAAAAUUCCCAAGGUAUUUGGGGAGGUUUCAGGGGUCCUCUGAAAGAUGCCAAAGACUUUUCCAAAGGAAAUGAAGCAGUUGAGAUGAAGGGUCCAGUAAGCCAUUGCUUGCCGCUGUGCAUCUUGUACAGUUCGUAAAGACACCCAGAUAAAGGGCCCUACCUCCUCAUUGCCAAGCCUUGUGCUCUGCCUGAGACUUCAUCCACUCAGAGAAAGUGGCUUUUUUCCAGUUGGUCCACCUAGGGGGAACUCUUUCUAAAAUUUGCAUUAAGGCUUUACAAAAGAUGGCGGUGACCCAGGGGUCCAGUCAUUUUUCUCUAAGGCCCAGCCAACACUUAUCCUCACACUGUGAACCCUAUAUAUAAGGUCAACAUUUAAUCUUUAAAUUUACUUAGGUAGACAAAAUAUUGUAUGCUUCUUACAUUACCACAGUUUGCU
rnacentral:lncRNA from 1 species